AAAUAAAAGCGCCAGACCGUUUUUCUUCGAAGAAACGGUUAACGAGGUGAGAGGUGAUCGAGCACUUCGGCGGAUGCCUCUCCGGGUCAGACGGAUUCCCGUCCGACUCGUCAAAGCAGUGUCAAAUAUACGGGUAACCGUAAAACAAAGCGCUG
rnacentral:ncRNA from 1 species